UGGGGAAUCUUGGACAAUGGGCGCAAGCCUGAUCCAGCCAUGCCGCGUGAGUGAAGAAGGCCUUAGGGUUGUAAAACUCUUUCGCCGGAGAAGAUAAUGACGGUAUCCGGAGAAGAAGCCCCGGCUAACUUCGUGCCAGCAGCCGCGGUAAUACGAAGGGGGCUAGCGUUGUUCGGAAUUACUGGGCGUAAAGCGCACGUAGGCGGGUCUGUAAGUAGGGGUGAAAUCCCAGGGCUCAACCCUGGAACUGCCUUCUAGACUGCAGGCCUGGAGGUCAGGAGAGGCGAGUGGAAUACCGAGUGUAGAGGUGAAAUUCGUAGAUAUUCGGUGGAACACCAGUGGCGAAGGCGACUCGCUGGACUGAUACUGACGCUGAGGUGCGAAAGCGUGGGGAGCAAACAGGAUUAGAUACC
rnacentral:rRNA from 1 species